UGUGCCGGCAGCCGCGGUAAUUCCAGCUCCAAUAGCGUAUAUUAAAGUUGUUGCGGUUAAAAAGCUCGUAGUUGGAUCUCGGCGGGCAGGGGGUGGUUCGCUCUUCAGCGCUACUGCCCCGCUUUGCCCGUGUGAUUGGCGGAGGUUUCGGGGUGCUCUUCGUUGAGUGACUCGGAGCGCCGUCAGGUUUACUUUGAAAAAAUUAGAGUGCUCAAAGCAGGCUUUUCACGCUUGAAUAUUCGUGCAUGGAAUAAUGGAAUAGGAACUCGUUUCUAUUUUGUUGGUUUUCGGAAAUCGAGUUAAUGAUUAACAGGGACAAUUGGGGGCAUUAGUAUUCAGACGACAGAGGUGAAAUUCUUGGACCGUCUGAAGACUGACUACUGCGAAAGCAUUUGCCAAGAGUGUUUUCAUUAAUCAAGAACGAAAGUUAGAGGUUCGAAGGCGAUCAGAUACCGCCCUAGUUCUAACCAUAAACGAUGCCAGCUAGCGAUCUGCCGAGUUUUUUUUGUAGGCUCCGCAGGAAGCUUUCGGGAAACCAAAGCUUUUGGGUUCCGGGGGAAGUAUGGUUGCAAAGCUGAAACUUAAAGGAAUUGACGGAAGGGCACCACCAGGAGUGGAGCCUGCGGCUUAAUUUGACUCAACACGGGAAAUCUCACCAGGCCCGGACACUGGAAGGAUUGACAGAUUGAGAGCUCUUUCUCGAUUCGGUGGGUGGUGGUGCAUGGCCGUUCUUAGUUGGUGGAGUGAUUUGUCUGGUUAAUUCCGAUAACGAACGAGACUCUGUCCUGCUAAAUAGUUGGGUCGUCCUUCGUGCGAUCCAAGUUCUUCUUAGAGGGACUGGCUGCGUCUAGCAGCACGAGAUUGAGCAAUAACAGGUCUG
rnacentral:rRNA from 1 species